GAUCCUGGCUCAGGAUGAACGCUAGCUACAGGCUUAACACAUGCAAGUCGAGGGGCAGCAUGAACUUAGCUUGCUAAGUUUGAUGGCGACCGGCGCACGGGUGAGUAACACGUAUCCAACCUGCCGAUGACUCUAGGAUAGCCUUUCGAAAGAAAGAUUAAUACCCGAUGGCAUAAUUCUUCCGCAUGGUAGAACUAUUAAAGAAUUUCGGUUAUCGAUGGGGAUGCGUUCCAUUAG
rnacentral:rRNA from 1 species